GCUGGUUUUUUUGCGAAACCUAUAUAAGUAGGUAAUUUAUAUAACAUCAUAGCAGGUACAGAAUUGUGGUCUUGUACAACUUGCAUAAAAAAAAUGCACUUUGUUCACUUCUUGGGGGUCGUGAAGAUCCUACUCGCGAGUAUUUGCACUCGGAAGGGUUAUGAUGACUAUAUAAUAAUCAGACAUAGUACGAUAAGGUAGUAUGUCUAAAGGGAAACAGCCCAGAACAAGAGUUAAUAAGGUUCCAAAAUUAUUGUUAAGUGAAAAUAAGGAAGUUUCAAUCCAAUACAGCCAGGAGAUAGGCUUAGAUGCGGCCAUUUUUUGAAGACCUCGUAACAGAGCACUGGUUUAGUAAAUUAUUUAGAUAAUUUAUAUUGAUAAAAGCACCAAAAAUUUAACGGAUCUAAACAAUAUACCGAGACCUUGUCCAUAUUUAUAUAUAUAUCUCUUUUGUAUAUUGUAUUUAUGGGGUAGCGGAACAUUGGGCAAAUAUAAGAAUUUUUCUUUUUAAGACUUAAGAUAAUAUAACCCAAGCGAUAAUGCUGACAUGAGUAACGAUAAAGGGAAUAAACUAUUCCCUCGCCUAAAACUUAUGGUAUUUACUUAAAGUAACGGCCUCUAAGUUUAUGAACCUAAAGGAGUAAACGAUGAGAAAAUCUACUAUCUGCGAAUAAAUAACCUUUGUGAUAAGACUUUGAUGACUGUAGGCGCAGUAAGUAUGAGCUUUUUUGCUAAAAAGUUCCACUACAUGAAAAGAUGUAAAUGGAGUUACGUGAAAGGUUCUGGAAAAUUUAAGUGGUGCAGCAUGGAUAAUAGGGAGGACGCAAUCUCCUGCCUACCAUGGUGUAAAUAGACCGUACCUAGAAACUACCCCCAGUAAGUUAGUAGAGAAUACGAAGGCGUUUGAGUGAACAAUCUUAAGGAAUUCGCAACUAACA
rnacentral:rRNA from 1 species